AUUGAUGGCUGUAUGUACAUUAAAUGGAUAUAAACUUGGGGAUAGAGUAUUACAGGUAUCUUUCAAGACUAAUCGACCAAAUGUAAAAUUUACACAUUGAGAGUAAGUAAAUGGAAAGUCAAACAUGAAGCGCUGAUGAUAUAUUUCUUUCAAGUUCCAAUUUUGUUUCUUUAAUAACCCGUACAUAAUGUAAAGUAAAUGUUGCGAAAUGCAUUAGUAUUUAUGUAGGUAUCAUAUUCCCAAAGGCUUUGUGUCGUUAUAUUUCUGUUAGACCUUUUAUUACGGGAAAUAUUGCAUCAUUUGGGUUAACAUAUUUUGAAAAAUGGUGGGUUAUUUUGCCGUGGUGGGUGUUUAUUUUUACCAAAUGUACUGUCCAUAAUUAAAGAAAAAAUGGUGUAAAGGUUAUUGCUAAAGCCCUGUUACAAUUUCAAAAUUACCUGCUUACAAUAAACUUGUUAGUAAGUCUUUAUGAAAACCCUGUAUAUCCAUUUUUAUUUCAUUUGAAAUGUGCGUCCCUCUUGUUUUUGGGAAAUUAGAAAAUUUAAAAAAGGUUUUAUGGAGUCUAAAUUAAAUCAUUUCAAAUACUAAUAUAGUAAAUAAAUAAAAUAUGUCCAUGUUCAAGUACAGACCACCAGGUUACAAUUCUUUGGCGGUUUCCUUUGGUGGUGGGUGUGUGUUGAAAAUAGUCUAAUUUUUUUGUGUAAUGAUUCAAUCAGUUACGAGCUUUGUUUCCUAGCGCACUAGAAACCUGGUAAAUCAAACUAAGGAAAGCCAUUCAAUGAAAUAUUGUUGCGUAAAGAUCUACUCAAGAUAUUUAUAUUUUGGGUACUCAAGAAUUUCUUAGUAAGAACAGAUCUGUUGGGGCAGCAAUAUUGUUAUGUAUGGCAAAAGACCAUUUGCAAAUAUUUUAGUCCCCAAGUUCACAAAUAACUUAUAUCAAUAUUUCGUUAGCUAUUGUAUUGUUCUCUGUCAGUCUAUGAUUCUGAUAUUAAUGUAUUCUUUUCUGAUGAAGCAAAUAUUUAUGUUUGGAUAUAUUGUGCAUGAUUUUGUUUUAUGUGAAGCAGAUUUAUUGGGAUAUUGAAUACCAACUGUCUCAUUGUGCGACAGAUUGCCAAAUUUUUUGUGACGUCACACUCAAUAAUUGAUUUCUUAUUAAUUAUUAAAGACACAUGAAUGUGGGUUUCUGCUUUUUAGCUCAAUUUUUACGUCCGAAACUUCUUAGCCAAGAUUCACUUUCGUAUCCUUUUACUAGACCUUGGUCCUAAAUUGUAUCCAGCCAAGCAUAAGUCGUUGAAGGGUAGCCUUUCAAAGGUGUGCUUCAACUAUGCCUGUAUACUGGCAAUUUGUGUGGCCUUGGCAUUGGUAGAUUUUAAAAGGAGAUUUGCGUAUUCUACAACUGCAUUUCAAACAUUUCCUACACCAUUUUACUAGACUUACAGUUUUAAUUAUUUUGCAUUAUUGAUUCUAUCGCUCAUGAAGAGAUUAAACGUAGUCCAUGGUAGGUAUGCCUACAGAAAUUAUAAUUACAUUGCUACAAGCAUUCUUUUUGUUGUAUGUAUGUUCUAUUGUAUAAAUUUUAGUUUAUUUACUAUUCAUUGUGUUUCGCUUCUUUUUGUCUUUAGUUUUGUUCUAUGUGACGGAUGUUUGUACAUGCAAUAAUCGAAUUCGGGUCAUUUAAUCAGUGUCAGAUAACUACUUCAUUCUCCAUCUAAAACCAUUUUUCAUUUGUGAACAUGUAAGCAGAUGUAAUUAUUUGUAGUGUGUUACUAAAUCACACCUACGCACUGUGGAUAUUUCCUCUUGUAUACACAAACUCUUUUCCUGCCUAGCAUAUGCCAUGACAUGAUAUUUACAACAGCAAUAGAUAUUAGAUACACACUACGCAAUAUUACCAAUUCCAAAUCUUAGUGCAAUAUGACUGCAGUCUUACAUACCCAAUACUCCAAUCUUGCCACUUUUUUGUUAUGGGACUUGCAAUUAUUUAUUUCAUCUUUUUUUUUCUGAUUUCGGUUUUGGCAUAUCUCGGUCACAUUCUGUGGCUUAUUGAGGAUACACAAUUUUUUGGAGAAUUAUUUUUUGAUGGCCCACAGAUUGGCCAUGUCUCAGUGUUACGAUCCUUCAUUGUGUCUCAUGCAUGUCCAAGUGUGAGUGACAUACACAAUUAUCUAAAAUGAAUACUAAAUGCCUUUGCAUAUUCGUUACUCAACACGCUCCUCUUAUAUAAAAAUGUAAUUUCCUGUUUGUCUUCAAACUUUUCGAUGCUGCAAACGAUUGAUUAAUAUGUUCCUUUAUUACUGUGAUGAAAUUUUCAGGGAUUAGGCGUUGCUGUGUCCAUCAAUUGAGACUAAGCUUUUAUUGUAAUUUGAGUGAACUCUGAUAAUCUUGUCCAUGAAUUUAGUUUGUUUGGAAUUCAAUUUGAUUUACGAACUUAUGGUGUAUGUUGGAUUUUACAUAUUAAAAUUGGCAUAUUAUUUUAUCAACAUGGAAUUAUAUUAUUCAAUGAUAUACCCUUGUUUACAUGUUUAAUAUUUUUUUCCCCAUUAUGUGAUGAACUCUAUAAAAUACCAAGACUUGGGAUACUAUCGAACCCCAAACAUUGCAUUGAAGACAGCAACACCUAUGCCUUGAAAUUAAAAAAUACUGCCUACAAAUGCCAUUGUGACCAAAUUACUUCAAUAUUCAGUUAUGGAUGCCUGAUUUUUUGUUUUAAAUUUUUGUUUCUCUUCAAGUCCUCGAUAUUAGACUGUGCUAGGAAAGACUGCUUGUUUAUACUUCCGAAUAUUGCAUUAUUAUCAUCUAGCCUUAUUUACUUUGAACUUACUGCCGGCGAUCUUUUUGAUUUCUUCAUCAAAGCGUCAAAACGUUCCAAUAUCUGUUAUUUUCUAUUAAUAUUAUUGUUAUUUUCUUGUUUUGUUGUUAUACCCAUUUCUUUAUUCUCGUUUGCUACGACCUGUGUUAAUCAUUAUUAAACGGUUUCUUUGUACCCAGAGUCAAUCACAACCGGG